rnacentral:rRNA from 1 species
UACGGGGGGGGGAAGCGUUGUUCGGAAUUACUGGGCGUAAGGGGCUCGUAGGCGGCCAACUAAGUCAUACGUGAAAUCCCUCAGCUUAACUGGGGAACUGCGUGUGAUACUGGAUGGCUUGGAUUUGGGAGAGGGAUGCGGAAUUCCAGGUGUAGCGGUGAAAUGCGUAGAUAUCUGGAGGAACACCGGUGGCGAAGGCGGCAUCCUGGACCAACACUGACGCUGAGGAGCGAAAGCCAGGGGAGCAAACGGG